rnacentral:rRNA from 1 species
CAAUAGCGUAUAUUAAAGUUGUUGCAGUUAAAGAGCUCGUAGUUGGAUUUCUGUGAGAGUGCCGGUGUCGGCUGAUGCUUGUACGCAGGCGCUCUUACAUCCUUCUGUUAACUGAUCUUGGCAUUUUAUUGCUGGUUCAGGGCUCAGAUAUUUUACCUUGAGAAAAUUAGAGUGUUUCAGGCAGGCUUAUGCCGGAAUACAUUAGCAUGGAAUAAUGGAACAGGACCUGUGCGUCUUUCGGGGCGCCGGUCUCCGUUAUUGGUUUCGGGGACUAAAGUAAUGAUUAAUAGGGAUAGUUGGGGGCAUUAGUAUUUAAUAGUCAGAGGUGAAAUUCUCGGAUUUGUUAAAGACUAACUUAUGCGAAAGCAUUUGCCAAGGAUGUUUUCAUUAA